UACGUAGGGUGCAAGCGUUGUCCGGAAUUAUUGGGCGUAAAGAGCUCGUAGGCGGUCUGUCGCGUCUGCUGUGAAAACUCAGGGCUUAACCCUGAGCUUGCAGUGGGUACGGGCAGACUAGAGUGCGGUAGGGGAGACUGGAAUUCCCGGUGUAGCGGUGAAAUGCGUAGAUAUCGGGAGGAAUACCUAUGGCGAAGGCAGGUUACUGGGCCAUCACUGACGCUGAGCUGCGAAAGCUAGGGGAGCAAACAGG
rnacentral:rRNA from 1 species